AGCGUAGGCGGUCUGGUAAGCCCUCCGGGAAAUCUCCCGGCCUAACCGGGAAAGGUCGGAGGGGACUGCUUGACUAGAGGGCGGGAGAGGAGCGCGGAAUUCCCGGUGUAGCGGUGAAAUGCGUAGAGAUCGGGAGGAAGGCCGGUGGCGAAGGCGGCGCUCUGGAACGAUCCUGACGCUGAGGCUCGAAAGCGUGGGGAGCAAACA
rnacentral:rRNA from 1 species